CGGAUUGAAGGCUGAAAUUCGCCUUCAUGAAGCCGGAAUUGCUAGUAAUGGCAGGUCAGCAUACUGCCGUGAAUACGUUCCCGGGCCUUGUACACACCGCCCGUCACACCAUGAGAGUUGGGAAUACCCGAAGCCUGUGAGCUAACUUAUAGAGGCAGCAGUCGAAGGUAGAAUCAAUGAUUGGGGUGAAGUCGUAACAAGGUACC
rnacentral:rRNA from 1 species